rnacentral:rRNA from 1 species
CUGGUUGAUCCUGCCAGUAGUCAUAUGCUUGUUUCAAGGAUUAAGCCAUGCAAGCCUAAGAGUAACUGAGACAAUAGGAGGUCUGCGAACGGCUCAUUAUAUCAGAAAUGAUCUACCGGGAAAAUUGCAGUGAGAACUGCUUUAAUGGAUAACUUCGCGAAACGCGAAGCUAAUACAUGUACGCUACGUGACGCAUUCCAUUCAACCACUGCGGGGAAACCCAAUGUGGGGAAUGUGGCUCGCGAAUGGUUGCUACAAAGACCGACGCCAGCAAUGGCAGUGUCGUAAAUUGAUGAAUCAAACCAUUCAGCAAAAGCGCACCUCUGGUGCGCGAGUCCCGACGAAUUUCUGCCCUAUCAGCUUUUGACGGUAGUGUAGUGGACUACCGUGGCGAUAACGGGUACGGGGAAUUAGGGUUCGAUUCCGGAGAGGGAGCCUGAGAAACAGCUACCACUUCUACGGAGGGCAGCAGGCGCGUAAAUUGCCCAAUGCCAAAUUGGUGAGGCAGCGAAGAGAAAUAGCGACUCCGCCUCUUUGAGUGUGGGGGUUGCAAUGGGUGGUACGUAAACCAACCAACGAGUAACAAUUGGAGGACAAGUCUGGUGCCAGCACCCGCGGUAAUUCCAGCUCCAAUAGCGUAUAUUAACGUUGUUGCUGUUAAAGGGUUCGUAGUUGAACUCAGAGUUGUGAGAUUUUGCUGCUUCGGCAGCUCUUCUUCCCAACUCUGUCCUAGACGGGGCCGGAGUCUGCGGAAGCGUCCCUUCAGUGGUGACGUGGAAGCGGUUGGCCGAAGAGGCUAACAUCCCACAUGCAACGCAUGGUCGAGACCGCCCGUCGUUAUCACUGUGAAGAAAACAGCGUGUUCAAAGCAGCCGCCUGCGGCUGAUGAUAAAGCAUGGAAUGACAAAGCAUCGACCACUGGGUCAGUCUUUUGUCGGUUUUACGACCCAACAUGGGGUAAUCGGUGGCGAAGUGUUAAUUUCCGUCACCUUGUGGUGAUGGAAGCUGUGAGAGGUGAAAUUCUUAGACCGUUCGAGGACGAACUUAUGCGAAGGCAUUUUCCAAGUAUACCUUCAUCAAUCAAGAACUAAAGUGUGGAGAUCGAAGAUGAUUAGAUACCAUUGUAGUCCACUACUGCAAACGAUGACGCCCAUGGAUCGGAUAGUAUUUUGCUCUGAUGGGAUCUUUUCGGCACUGCUCCCCCUUCAACGCGAAAGCUGAGGCUAUGGUCUCAUGGGGGAGUACGUUCGCAAGGCUGAAACUUAAAGAAAUUGACGGAAUGGCACCACCAGGCGUGGAGUGUGCGGUUUAAUUUGACUCAACACGGGAAACCUUACCAGGAUAGGACAACGGUAGGAUUGACAGAUUGAGAGUUCUUUCUUAAUUCGUUUGACGGUGGUGCAUGGCCGCUUUUGGUCGGUGAAGUGAUUUGUUUGGUUGAUUCCUUUAACGGACGAGACCCAAUCCGCUUACUAGGGGCACCAUCUACCGCAAGGUAAACGGAAGCGAGGGGAUUCGUCCCGCUCGUCUUCCCAGAUGGUGUAUCCCCUUCUUCGCGGCAUUCCGUGCGCCUUAGCACGGUGGCAUUUUGGGCAACAGCAGGUCCGUGAUGCUCCUAAAUGUCCUGGGCGACACGCGCACUACAAUGACAAAGUGAAUGAGCGAAACCAAUUUGGUCCUUCUUCGAAAGAAGUGGGAAAACUGAGAAAACUCUGUCGUGCUUGGGAUCGAAGCUUGCAAUUAUUCUUCUUGAACGAGGAAUGCCUAGUAGACGUGCUUCAUCAAAGCGCAUUGACUACGUCCCUGCCAUUUGUACACACCGCCCGUCGUUGUUACCGAUGCCAGUUGGAUAAAGGUUAACGGACUUGCGAUCCCUUCGAGGAUUGUGGGAAAGUUAACCCAUAUUUAACUAGUAGAGGAAGCAAAAGUCGUAACAAGGUAGCUGUAGGUGAACCUGCAGAAGGAUCA